CACUCCUGCGGGAGGCAGCAGUGGGGAAUUUUGGACAAUGGGCGCAAGCCUGAUCCAGCCAUGCCGCGUGCGGGAAGAAGGCCUUCGGGUUGUAAACCGCUUUUGUCAGGGAAGAAAAGGUUCUGGCUAAUACCUGGGACUCAUGACGGUACCUGAAGAAUAAGCACCGGCUAACUACGUGCCAGCAGCCGCGGUAAUACGUAGGGUGCAAGCGUUAAUCGGAAUUACUGGGCGUAAAGCGUGCGCAGGCGGUUAUGCAAGACAGAGGUGAAAUCCCCGGGCUCAACCUGGGAACUGCCUUUGUGACUGCAUGGCUAGAGUACGGUAGAGGGGGAUGGAAUUCCGCGUGUAGCAGUGAAAUGCGUAGAUAUGCGGAGGAACACCGAUGGCGAAGGCAAUCCCCUGGACCUGUACUGACGCUCAUGCACGAAAGCGUGGGGAGCAAACAGGAUUAGAUACCCCGGUAGUCC
rnacentral:rRNA from 1 species